AGCCCCCCACCUGCAACCCCUGCCCUCAGUCCUGCCUGCAGCCUCUGCCUGCAGCCCUGCCCUUGCCCUGCCCGCAGCUCUCGGGAGGGUUGCGCAGCCCCGCAGCUGGCAGCGAUGCCCACGCUAAUUAGGACUCCCCGGCCUAAAUCUUGACUUCAGGCUGGUCAUUACCCCUAAGCCGGAUGCGGGCGGGCAGGGGUGCGCGGUGCCGGCACAGCAUCGCCGGGAAGCACGCGCCUUCGUGCCAGUUGCCUCCCACGCGCGGCGUGGACAAACACUUGAGCAUAGGGUGCUCUGCAGCAGAAACCACGAGACGCUGAUUUAAUGGUUGUUGUUCAAGCCUUUCGUGUCCCUUUUGCCUUGGUGGAGAUUGAGAAACUCUCUUCUGAUGCUCGUAGAAGCAACGGGCAACCCCGGAACAAGAGUUUGGUUUCUGUAGAGACAAGCCUCGUGAUAAAUAGAGACACGCUUUCUAAUUUGGGGGUUUGUGAUGUGGGUGGAUGCCGUAAGAUAAACCAGCUGCCAGGAACUGCCAGCCCACUGCUCACCUCCACCACGGCAGUUUACUGGCGAGACAGAUUAAAUGGCCAGAAGUGCUAAAAUCCUCAGUUUUGCAUCCGUAGAGCAAAUGGCUGCAAAACCUUGUCCGUGCAGCCUUGCCUGCGCAGGGCCCCCGCCAGCUCGGUGCUGACACAGCUCCUGCCCGCGCCUCUGCUGCAGCGUGUUUCUCCUUUCAGAUCGCCGUCCGAGCCGUUGACCCACUUUGGUCCUGCUUUGAAGGAGACGGAAGUCGGCGAGGACGCGGCGGGGAGGAUGCGGUUAUGCCGGCGGGAGCUUUCUGCAGGCUGCGGUGUGGAAGCCUUUUGUAGACAAUCCUUGCGGGAAAUACUAAAGGAUCAGAAGAACAGGACUCUGGAAUUGAGUCUGCUCGCAAUCCUGUAGCACAAGGACUCAGCUUUCUGCCCCCACCCCAAGCAUUUCCUCAGAGCGGUUGAUGAUGAUUUUUUUUCUUCCCUGUAUUCCCUUUCAAAAAAAAAAAAAAACCUAAAUAAAGUUAUUAAUUUAUCAAGCUAAUUCAGUGAACCCGCAGCAGUCUCUUGGGAAAGAUUUCAGGACGUUAGAGGCAGCAUUUAACAAGACUUUCGAGCAUAAGAUAAAACAAAAGGGGUAGAGACGCCACAGCGCUGCUCUUCGUUCCCCUGGGUUUAAAGAGGUAGCGAGGCUGGCUGUGUGGACAUCAUCCCCACCGUGAGUAUUUCCACAAACGGAAACGAACCCAAAGCACGGAUUAAUUCCCGGAGAACUGCUGCUGACACUGCUGCCUUUAUCAGAGAAAUGAAAAGUGGCAUUCACUGGGGCUGGGCCAUCGCGUUCUGCAUCCAGCACACAGACAGGGCUUCGGGCUGUUUAUUGUCAUCUGCUCUAUCUCCCAGUAUCGCCACCGACCCUCAGAAGUCGGGUUUUGUGCUGUAUCCGAAGGAUGGAUAGCUCGGCCCGGCUGCUCUCUGCCCGACAAGAGCAGAAAUGGAAUAGCAACCGCGCGUUUACCCCCACCAGGACGUUCGGCUCGUUCUUUCCUGGCUCCGUCGGCCCCUUGUGAUCACAGACGCAUCCAAGGAGCCGCAAAGGUUAACAUCGGCCGAGCUGUUCCCUUCCCCUCUGCGCUGUACAGUGCCACGGGUACGGCCUUUGCAGGGGAAUACAAAACUUGCAGUGUGUGGAAGGACGCGACAAUUAAAAAGUGGAUUUUUACCCAAG